rnacentral:lncRNA from 1 species
GGUUGAAAUAGGGUCUUCAAGGAAGAACUCACCGAGAAGGUGACAAAGGCUCGAAGGCAGUAAUGAAGAGAGCCAUGUGGACAGCUGAGGCAUUCUUGGCAGAAGGAAGCUGCCUCGUAGGUUUGAGGAACAAUAUGAGGUCAGCAGAGUGAGUGUGAGGGACAGAGUGGAGCUGACCUUGGAGAGAGCAGCAGACGGGCACAUUGUGAAGGGCUUUUUACUCUGAGCGUGACACGAGGCCUGGGGAAGGUUUUGAGGAGAGGAGUGGCAUGGUCUGACUCCUGGUUUAACAGCAAACACCAGCUCCCUGUUAAGAACAGACUGGGAGGGUCAGGGGUGGAGGCAGGGAGCCCAGGUGGAGAUGGCAGGGUAGCGUAGCUGGGUGGGAAGAGGUUGACUCCUGAAUGGACUUUGAAGGGCGACUUGAUUGGUGAUGGAUCCGAUGGGAGGGGUAGGUUGAGAGAGAAAGAGGAGUCCAGGAAGACACCAAGGAUUUUGGCUUGAGCACUAGACAGAUGAAGCCACUGAUUGAAAUGGGAGAGUGGGUUCGGGAAGGGGCUGGCAAUCAGAAGUUCACUUCUGUACAUGCUCCAUUUCAGAUUCCUGUUAUGAUCACCAAAGUUUUGGAAGUGUUGUGGACUAAAGACAGAAGCAAAAGGAAAACGCAGUUCAAAGAGAUUGCGCGUUAGAAGCCAACAUAACACUGCCUCAAACCUUUGGCUCUUGUAACGUAAGUGUAAACUCCUUGCCUUAUGAGAGAAAUACCAUUUUAUUAGUCUAAAAAUUAAUUUACUUUAUUAAUUUAAAAAUUAAUGAGUACUACUGCAUAAUUUUGUAGUAAGUAAAGUCAUGGACACCUAUAUAAGAUUCCCUCUCUCCCUCCUUCUCAAUGUUCUGAGAACACCCGUGUUGAGAGCUUGAUAUAUAUGGGUCUAUACUGUUGUCCGGGCUCAUAUAAAGAUACACAAACAAACAUACAUGUGCGUAACCUCCCUGUGCCUUGGGAUCAUCAUCUGUAAAGUGGGGUGUAAUAAUACAGAUCUCCAAUCUCUUCCAUAAUUCUGAACCUCAGAAGGCUCUGAAAACCAAAAGUUUCUUCAUUACUCAGCUAGUAGCAAAGCCUGACAUGAGGCUCUUUAUAGUCAUUAUUUGUCCCAUUUAGCAUGAGUAUUCAAAUGUUUUGAUGCAGAAAUAUCACUGUCUUCUGUUAAAAGGUGUUGUCCCAGACCUUACAAUGGGUGUUAAGUAAUCCAUGGUGUAUCCUUCGGGGGAAACGGCCUCUAAGAUGGCGCCCAAUGAUCUCCUCCUCCUGGUCAUGCCCUUGGGUAAACUCUCCCCUUGAAUGUGGGGUGGACUUAUUGACUGACUUCUAACAAACAGAAUACAAAAGAGGUGAUGGAACGCCCCUUCUGAGAUGAGAUUAGAUGGGAUGUCACUUCUGUCUUGGGGGCUCGCUCUCAUUCUCUCUUGGGUGACCUGCGCUGGGGGAAGUUGGCUGCCAUGUUGUGAAGUAAGUUGAUGGAAAAGUCCAACUGGUGAGGAAGUGAGGUGAGCCACAACUGUGUGUGUGGAUGCGAGCAGAUUCU